ACUAUACGGGGGGGGGGGGGGGGGGUUUACAAGGGUUUCAGUUAAUGUUUAAUUCUGUGAAAGGCUGGAACAAACGCUUUUGCGCAUUUUGUAUCACGAGUCGUCAACCUGUCUGUCAUCCAAUGUAUUCAGUGUGGUUUUCAAUUGGCCACCCUCUAAAGAAGAUGUACAUUGUGAAUGCUGCCAGAAUUGUUUACAUGAAGACAAGGGCUCUAGAAUCAUCUAGAUGAGUGGCAUGCUUGUAACUAUCAAUAUAUUGCCUAUUCUGCUUGAUCUGGUAGCAGCUCUUGAAGAAUUCAAAAGGGGGAGGAGGAACUUUUCCAGAUGUCUGGAGAAUAUGGCAACCUGGUUCCUUAUCCGAAGCUCAAACUACACAGUGGAUGACAACAUCUAAAUAAAUAGGUGUUUUUACUACAUGCCUGAUGCAUUCAUCAUAUAUCAAGGGCAAAGGGUGUGGAUAGCAAUAACCAUUAAUAUUGCUAAAUAUUAACCACCAUCAAAGCUUACGCCAAGCAGAGCACAGAAGAACUCAAAAAAGUAGGGCAAGAUCAGAAGAUGUGAAGAGACCUGGCCCAUAGAAACUCCAAGAGUUGGGCACCACUGAAUGGACAUCAUCAUCAUCAUCAUCAUCAUCAUCAUCAUCGCUCAAAACAAGUAGAUUGCCACUAUUAUACAGAUCCAAAAUAGGAAAAUCAUCUGCUUUUAAGCAAGGCCAGGAUUCCUAGAGUUGCCAUUGUAAAACCUACUCUUCUUUUGAAGACAGAAAAGAUGCAAUUGGAAAACUGGGGCAAGUUUGUCAAACUGCUGCCAGGUUCUUACUUCAGAAGUCAAGUAAAUGUUC